rnacentral:rRNA from 1 species
UACGAAGGGGGCUAGCGUUGCUCGGAAUCACUGGGCGUAAAGCGCACGUAGGCGGACUCUUAAGUCGGUGGUGAAAUCCUGGAGCUCAACUCCAGAACUGCCUUCGAUACUGAGAGUCUCGAGUCCGAGAGAGGUGAGUGGAACUGCGAGUGUAGAGGUGAAAUUCGUAGAUAUUCGCAAGAACACCAGUGGCGAAGGUGGCUCACUGGCUCGGUACUGACGCUGAGGUGCGAAAGCGUGGGGAGCAAACAGG